UACGAAGGGGGCUAGCGUUGUUCGGAAUUACUGGGCGUAAAGCGCGCGCAGGCGGUCUUCCAAGUCAGUGGUGAAAGCCUGGAGCUCAACUCCAGAACUGCCAUUGAAACUGUUAGACUUGAGUACGAGAGAGGUGAGUGGAAUUCCCAGUGUAGAGGUGAAAUUCGUAGAUAUUGGGAAGAACACCGGUGGCGAAGGCGGCUCACUGGCUCGUAACUGACGCUCAGGCGCGACAGCGUGGGAUCAAACAGG
rnacentral:rRNA from 1 species